AAAAUAAUAUAUAUUAAAACUUGCAAAUUUUAUUUUUAUAAAAUAUUUAUAUUUUACAGUUUAUAAUUGUUAUUAAGGAACGCUAUACCACGAAUCCAUGAGAAAAUUGUUAAAAAACCUGAAGUUUUAACCCCUAUAAAAACAGCAUAUUAAUAGUAUUUU
rnacentral:sRNA from 1 species